GCUGGCGGUAGGCUUAACACAUGCAAGUCGUGCGAGAAAGUAUCUUCGGAUAUGAGUAGAGCGGCGGACGGGUGAGUAACGCGUAGGAAUCUACCUAGUAGAAGGGGAUAGCCCGGGGAAACUCGGAUUAAUACCGUAUACCUCCUUUGGGAGAAAGAGGGCCUCUCUUGAUGCUCUCGCUAUUAGAUGAGCCUGCGUAAGAUUAGCUAGUUGGUAAGGUAAUGGCUUACCAAGGCUACGAUCUUUAGCUGGUCUGAGAGGACGAUCAGCCACAUUGGGACUGAGACACGGCCCAGACUCCUACGGGAGGCAGCAGUGGGGAAUAUUGGACAAUGGGCGCAAGCCUGAUCCAGCCAUACCGCGUGUGUGAAGAAGGCCUUCGGGUUGUAAAGCACUUUAAGCAGGGAGAAAAAGCUAUAAGUUAAUACCUUAUAGCCUUGAUGUUACCUGCAGAAUAAGCACCGGCUAAUUCCGUGCCAGCAGCCGCGGUAAUACGGAAGGUGCAAGCGUUAAUCGGAAUUACUGGGCGUAAAGCGCGCGUAGGUGGUUUGUUAAGUUGGAUGUGAAAGCCCUGGGCUCAACCUAGGAACUGCAUCCAAAACUAACUCACUAGAGUACGAUAGAGGGAGGUAGAAUUCAUAGUGUAGCGGUGGAAUGCGUAGAUAUUAUGAAGAAUACCAGUGGCGAAGGCGGCCUCCUGGAUCUGUACUGACACUGAGGUGCGAAAGCGUGGGUAGCGAACAGGAUUAGAUACCCUGGUAGUCCACGCCGUAAACGAUGACAACUAGCUGUUGGGAGACAAUGUCUUUCAGUGGCGCAGCUAACGUUUUAAGUUGUCCGCCUGGG
rnacentral:rRNA from 1 species